AUCUAUCUGGAGCAAUUUUUCUGGGCUGCAAAGCCUAAAAUAAAUCAUUCAAAAUUAGAUCUGACAGGUAGAUCAGCUCUGUCCCACAACACAGUAUAAUCCUGAGGUCCAUCAUUUGCUUCCCAAUAACCUAGGUUCUUAAAUGCCUCAGAACUUACUAGGUUACUUAGUAACAUCCUGGU